GAUGAACGCUGGCGGCGUGCCUAAUACAUGCAAGUCGAGCGAACGGACGAGAAGCUUGCUUCUCUGAUGUUAGCGGCGGACGGGUGAGUAACACGUGGAUAACCUACCUAUAAGACUGGGAUAACUGCGAGAAACCGGAGCUAAUACCGGAUAAUAUUUUGAACCGCAUGGUUCAAGAGUGAAAGACGGUCUUGCUGUCACUUAUAGAUGGAUCCGCGCUGCAUUAGCUAGUUGGUAAGGUAACGGCUUACCAAGGCAACGAUGCAUAGCCGACCUGAGAGGGUGAUCGGCCACACUGGAACUGAGACACGGUCCAGACUCCUACGGGAGGCAGCAGUAGGGAAUCGUCCGCAAUGGGCGAAAGCCUGACGGAGCAACGGCGCGUGAGUGAUGAAGGUCUUCGGAUCGUAAAACUCUGUUAUGAGGGAAGAACAUAUGUGUAAGUAACUGUGCACAUCUUGACGGUACCUAGUCAGAAAGCCCCGGCUAACUACGUG
rnacentral:rRNA from 1 species